AAAGUUUCAAAUUUAAGCUUCUAACUUAAAAAUAAGCAAAAUUAUAUUGUUAAACUUUU
rnacentral:tRNA from 1 species